rnacentral:lncRNA from 1 species
AAAUAUCAUUUAAAUACUAGGAACUGAUCCAUGUGAGCUGGAAAUAUUUGUUUCAAAUGUAUAUUUUAAAUGGUUUCCUGAUGUAGUUAGUCCUGUAGAGAAGACAGAAUCUCUGAACUCUUGAUGGUAUUGCCUCUAUUGGUUUUUUUAGAGAUGACUCAAAAGUGGAACCUGAGCUCUAGAUCUCUUUAACUUUCAGGCGUGUUCAGAUCUGAAUGCUUCAGAAGGAUCCUCCUUUUUGAAAAUCCACGUGUGGCACCCCCCAAAAUGUUGAGAUGUAUAUACUGCAAUUCAGAACUAAGCCUUCGGAGAGACUCCACUAUCGAUGGAACAGUUUGGUUACUUACAAACUAAGAUUCACAAGAAAUGUAACAAUUAUUUAUUCCCUCAAAAAUGAACCCCUACAAGUGAACAUGGACACAGUCCAAGGGAAAGGUGCCUUCAAAAUUCAGAAUGUGUAAGUUAAAAUUUGCAUGUUUGUAUGUUCUUGAUGUACAAAUAGACAUUUUGUUCAAUUUAAUGGGGG